rnacentral:rRNA from 1 species
CGCAUCUGUGCAUGCAGCAUAUCAAUAAGCGGAGGAAAAGAAACUAACAAGGAUUCCCCUAGUAACGGCGAGUGAAGCGGGAAGAGCUCAAAUUUGAAAUCUUGAAAGGGUUCACCUUUCACGAAUUGUAGUUUAAAGAAGUGUUUUCUGUUACGAGUUUGGUAAUAAGUUCUUUGGAAUAGGACAUCAUAGAGGGUGAGAAUCCCGUAUAUUGACCUUGGACUUGUCAGCUUUGUGAUACACUUUCAAAGAGUCGGAUUGUUUGGGAAUGCAGUCCAAAAUGGGAUGGUAAAUUUCUAUCUAAGGCUAAAUAUUGGCGAGAGACCGAUAGCGAACAAGUACCGUGAGGGAAAGAUGAAAAGAACUUUGAAAAGAGAGUUAAAUAGUACGUGAAAUUGUCAAAAGGGAAGCGUUUAACACCAGUGUUGUUUUCUGAAAAUCAACCUCUGUUAGCUUUAUGCAUGUUUGUUUAGACCUAAUCAGCUAUCUUGCAUGUUCUAUUGUUUGCAGUGGCGCACUUUUCAGUUUACAGGUCAACAUCAGUUUUUUUUACCGUAAAAAAGUUAAAGAAAGGUAGCUCAUGGCUCCGGUCGUGAGUGUUAUAGUCUUUUUCCUAUGCGGUAGGAGAGACUGAGGUCUGCAGUGUAGGCUAUUUGGCUAGAUACUCAGGUGCUAUGUGAUACCAUUUCAUAAACAACUUGUUGAUUAUGUUUUGUCUAUUGCAUACUCGCUUGUACUAUCAUACCUACGCUUAGGAUGUUGAAGUCAUCGUAUCGCGC